UGGGGAAUAUUGCACAAUGGGCGAAAGCCUGAUGCAGCGACGCCGCGUGAGGGAUGACGGCCUUCGGGUUGUAAACCUCUUUCGACAGGGACGAAGCGCAAGUGACGGUACCUGUAGAAGAAGCACCGGCCAACUACGUGCCAGCAGCCGCGGUAAUACGUAGGGUGCGAGCGUUGUCCGGAAUUACUGGGCGUAAAGAGCUUGUAGGCGGUUUGUCGCGUCGUCUGUGAAAACUCACAGCUCAACUGUGAGCUUGCAGGCGAUACGGGCAGACUUGAGCACUGCAGGGGAGACUGGAAUUCCUGGUGUAGCGGUGAAAUGCGCAGAUAUCAGGAGGAACACCGGUGGCGAAGGCGGGUCUCUGGGCAGUAACUGACGCUGAGAAGCGAAAGCGUGGGUAGUGAACAGGAUUAGAUACCCUGGUAGUCCACGCCGUAACGGUGGGUACUAGGUGUGGGUUUCCUUCCACGGGAUCCGUGCCGUAGCUACGCAUUAAGUACCCCGCCUGGGGAGUACGGCCGCAAGGCU
rnacentral:rRNA from 1 species